AUGACUUCACCGGUGGUGGUGAUGAUUCAACAGGUUCUGGUGGUUCAUACUUCUCGGCCGGAGGAGGAGACGACUUCGCCGGAGUUGGUGGUGGCAUUGACUUUUCUUUUGGUGGGAUCACCGGUGUUUCCGUUGGCGGAGACUUCUUCGGUGCAGGUGGGGGAGGAGAUUUCACAGGAGGUGGUGGAGAGCUCACUGGAGCAGGCGGGGGAGGAGAUUUCACCGGGGGUNNNNNNNNNNNNNGGGGUGGAGGAGAGUGCACCGGUGCGGGUGGCGGAAGCACCUUCACGGGCGUCGGUGGUGGAAGCACCUUCUCUGGUGCGGGUGGCGGAAGCACCUUCACGGGCGUCGGUGGUGGAAGCACCUUCUCUGGUGCGGGUGGCGGAAGCACCUUCACGGGCGGCGCGUAUUCUUCCGGCGGAGGUGCCUUCUUGCGCUCAGGGGUCAACGGGAGCCAGCCAGAACUGGGAGGUGGUGGAGCACCAGCAUACUCAUCCUUGGGUGGAAGUGGCCCAACAAUCGGGCCCAAAACAGCCGGCUCGGGUGCGGGUGCGGGUGCUGGUGCUGGCGUCGGGAUCUCCAUUGCUGGCCCAAUUAUCGGGGACAGCGCCGGCGUCGACGGGGCGCGCGAGCACGGGCGCGCACUGGAGCGUGGUCUUCUGCGCGGGGCGGAGCGCGCCGAGGCAGUUGUUGGCGUCGUCGAGGUUGACCUCGGAUUUGUCGGAGGGCAUGCAGGGCGCGGACUCAGACUCGAAGAAGUUGGAUGCGUAG
rnacentral:rRNA from 1 species